rnacentral:rRNA from 1 species
UGCAGUCGAGCGGAAGGCCACGUUCGGUGGUACUCGAGCGGCGAACGGGUGAGUAACACGUGAGUAAUCUGCCCCCCACUUUGGGAUAGCCACCGGAAACGGUGAUUAAUACCGGAUAUGACCCUUGACCGCAUGGUUGUGGGUGGAAAGUUUUUCGGUGGGGGAUGUGCUCGCGGCCUAUCAGCUUGAUGGUGGGGUAAUGGCCUACCAUGGCUUCGACGGGUAGCCGGCCUGAGAGGGUGACCGGCCACACUGGGACUGAGACACGGCCCAGACUCCUACGGGAGGCAGCAGUGGGGAAUAUUGGACAAUGGGCGGAAGCCUGAUCCAGCAACGCCGCGUGAGGGAUGACGGCCUUCGGGUUGUAAACCUCUUUCAGUACCGACGAAGCGAAAGUGACGGUAGGUACAGAAGAAGCACCGGCCAACUACGUGCCAGCAGCCGCGGUAAUACGUAGGGUGCGAGCGUUGUCCGGAAUUAUUGGGCGUAAAGGGCUCGUAGGCGGUUUGUCGCGUCGGGAGUGAAAACACUGGGCUUAACUCAGUGCUUGCUUCCGAUACGGGCAGACUAGAGGUAUGCAGGGGAGAACGGAAUUCCUGGUGUAGCGGUGAAAUGCGCAGAUAUCAGGAGGAACACCGGUG